rnacentral:rRNA from 1 species
UACGGGGGGAGCAAGCGUUGUUCGGAUUUACUGGGCGUAAAGGGCGCGUAGGCGGUCAGCACAAGUCAGUUGUGAAAUCUCCGGGCUUAACUCGGAAAGGUCAACUGAUACUGUGCGGCUAGAGUGCAGAAGGGGCAACUGGAAUUCUCGGUGUAGCGGUGAAAUGCGUAGAUAUCGAGAGGAACACCAGUGGCGAAGGCGAGUCCCUGGACAACACCUGACACUGAGGCACGAAAGCUAGGGGAGCAAACAGG